rnacentral:lncRNA from 1 species
UUUUUUUUUUUUUUUUUUUUUUUUUUUUUGGUGAGAAGGAGUUUCAUUCUUAUUGCCCAGGCUGGAGUGCAGUGGGGAGAUCUCGGCUCACUGCAACCUCCACCUCUUGGGUUCAAGAGAUUCUCCUGCUUCAGCCUCCCGAGUAGCUGGGAUUAUAGGCACCCACCACCAAUGCCUGGCUAAUUUUUGUAUUUUUAGUAGAGAUUGGGUUUCACCAGGUUGGCCAGGCUGGUCUCAAACUCCUAACCUCAGGUGAUCCACCUGCCUCAGCUUCCCAAGUGCUGGGAUUAUAGGCGUGAGCCACCUCGCCCGGCCUCUGAUCUGCAUUUUCAAACUUUCCUCUGGCUGCUGUGUGCAGAAUGUGCCAGAGGAGCCAGGGUAAGGACAGGACCUGCUGGGAGUCUGGGAGGCUGAGAGGCUGGGAGGCUGGGAGGCUGGGAGGCUGAGAGGCUGUGAGGGCUUGGGAGGCUGGGAAGCUUGGAGGCUGAGAGGCUGGGAGGCUGGGAGGCUGAGAGGCUGAGAGGCUGGGAGGCUGAGAGGCUGAGAGGCUGGGAAGCUUGGAGGCUGAGAGGCUGGGAGGCUGGGAGGCUGAGAGGCUGGGAAGCUUGGAGGCUGAGAGGCUGGGAGGCUGGGAGGCUGAGAGGCUGGGAGGCUGAGAGGCUGAGAGGCUGGGAGGCUUGGAGGCUGGGAGGCUGAGAGGCUGGGAGACUGAGACAAUGGUUCAGGAGGGAGAUGAUGGGAUUCAGAUCAGGGAGAAAGAGUUGCAGAGGAACCAUGUGUCUGCGAGUUGGAAGUGACGAGACUGUGGAUGGAUUUAACGGUGGAGAGACAGGCACAGAGGAGGAGGGUCAGGAACGUUUUCUGGGAGUUUGUCUCGAACAACUGAACCGCGGAGGGAAGCGCAGAUGGGAAAAGGGAUCAGAGGUUUAGACACUCCCAGUUUGAGACACUGCUCCUGCCUGGUCCCUUCACUGCCUCUCCCUUCUGGAGGAGCACCCGGGGCCACAGCCCAGCCUCCUGCCAGCACCCACCACCCUCGGACCCCCGAGCGCCUCAGAGACGAGGCUGCGUCCCCACCCCAAAGGCUGCUGUUUGGAUUCAGUGAACAUGCGUAGCAAACCCUUAAAAUAGUUAGUGCUUUACACACAGUCCUUUGAGCCCAUCAAGCCUCAUAUCAUUAGGCAGCCGGACAGGUGAGCCCUGAGGUGAGAGGAGCCUAGUUUGAAAGGGGGAUUUAGAGUCAGCACAAAUAAGGGAUUGAAAGUCAAGGCUCCUGACAGAGGCAGGGAGUGGGGCCAUGAGACGUUCUGGAGCAGACAGGACCUCCUGGGCAUGAGUGUGUCACAGGGCACUGCAGCUCCCUGCCCCUUCCUCGUGCCCCACCCCUCCAGCCCCCAUCCCAGGCCAGCAGACAUCUGGAGGUGAGGAUGGCAGUAUUAGCUGCCAUUUACUGAAGAGCUAGUGGGUGGGCCCCAUUUGAUGGGUUUGAUAUGCAUAAUCAUGGAAUCUGCAGAGCAACC